CCUACGGGAGGCAGCAGUGGGGAAUAUUGGUCAAUGGGCGCGAGCCUGAUCCAGCCAAGUAGCGUGAAGGAUGACUGCCCUACGGGUUGUAAACUUCUUUUAUAAAGGAAUAAAGUGAGGCACGUGUGCCUUUUUGUAUGUACUUUAUGAAUAAGGAUCGGCUAACUCCGUGCCUGCAGCCGCCGUAAUACGUAGGAUCCGAGCGUUAUCCGGAUUUGUUGGGUUUAAAGGGAGCGUAGAUGGGUUGUUAAGUCAGUUGUGAAAGUUUGCGGCUCAACCGUAAAAUUGCAAUUGAUACUGGCAGUCUUGAGUAAAGUUGAGGGAGGCGGAAUUCGUGGUGUAGCAGUGAAAUGCUUAGAUAGCACGAAGAAC
rnacentral:rRNA from 1 species